UGUCACACUGAUAGACAGGAAAAGAAUUUAUGUCAUCACAAAAUGUGAGUGCUGUGUAUCAGUCAGAGGGGAAGCUGGAACUACAGAGAAUAAAGCGAGUCUGCUGAGGGAACAACUGUUUAUAGCUGCUGGAACUUCAGUGACAACAGGAAGUAACCUGC